UAGUGAAGUGUAUCCUCACUUUCAUACAGUUAUUGUUGUAAUCAAAGCUUUUAAAGAAUGGAUCUCUGCAUUAAGGGCCUGACCAGAGCACAGGUGGCCUGACAGAACACGCUUCAAAGUUGUCACUUUCAAAAGGGUGGCAUUUUAACCCUGUCAGUCCAAAAUGUCUAAAACUUGGUACCCAUGACUUAUUGCUCAUGGGAAACAAAAAAGUCUCAAGAACCCAUAAUGUCACCAGCAUGGAUAUUUCUCGACAGUGACAAUUUGUGAAUAAUUUAAAAAAAUGACUUCAAAUCAGCCAUUGAUCCAAUUAUCUGUCCAAUGUUGUGUACAUGUAUGAAAUACAUGUCAGUGUCAUGUCAAUUUUGUAAUGAUUGGAAUGUUGAGGAGGAACCCGCCAUUGCUGCCUGCAGCUAUAUUUAGGGUUCCUCCGUCAGGAGGAAACCUAUUGUUAUUGUAGGUAUUAUUAGGGUUCCUCCGUCAGGAGGAAACCUAUUGUUAUUGUAGGUUUUCUUAUUAUUAUGUUUGUACCAUGGGAGUCAAUGGCAGCCCCUAGAACCGUAUGGUAACUUUUUCUGAAAUUUGGCACACUCGUUAAGGAC
ensembl:lncRNA